UUUGCCGUUUCUGACUGACUCAGGCCGAUUGGCAAAGCACCGGUAGUCUCUUCUGGAUCGACCUGCCGUUGUUGAUUCAAGAGUGGUGUUUACAAGUGGAUCGAGAGCUACUGCUGUUGAUUCGUGUGAACUGAACUGCUGAUGUCCUGAUAACGCCAGUGGGAUCCCCUCCAAAGAACAAUUUCUAAACAGGGUCUAGAUCUGAAGCGUGCAGCAGGACGCCUGUUUUAAGUGUAAGGCUUCUGAAGACCUUUACCACAAUAACGACCUGAGUCAGUGGUUCUAUGACCAGCUGCGGUGAAAACAAAUCCAGGGAACAUUAUAUAACAUAAAACUUUUUGUGAACUGCCCUGGUGUGGCCUGAGCAGUAGCUGCCAUCUCUUACCCUCAGACCCUCUGGAAACUCCAAGAUCAUCAGAAAGAGGACCAAGAAGUUCAUCCAGCACCAGCCGGACCGGAAUGUCAAAAUUAUGCGCAACUGGUGGAAACCCAGAGUUACAGAUGCACACACCCCCUCUUGGUAACUGUCAUUCCGCGACUCACCACUAGAGGGAAGGCUCUGGGUACCACUAGCCUGCCCUCUAGUGGCGAAACUCGGAAUGACAUGUUUUUUCUUUUUUAUAAGUAUGGGUUACCACACCCUCUUACCGAAUUGCAGUGAGAAAAAUUCAUGCUUAUAAUGACGCUAAAUGUCCCGCGACUCAUAAUUUUAUAUCUGCUGGUGAGGUGGUGAUGCAAUCUACUCCUGUUCAACAAAUUAAAAGUGGAAGCAGCUUGUCCCAUCAGCC